GAGGGUACAGCUCAGUGGUAGAGCGCAUGAUUAGCAUGCAGAAGGUCCUGGGUUCAAUCCCCAGUGCCUCCA
rnacentral:tRNA from 1 species